CGCACGCUCCACACCGCCGCGGCCCGCUCGCUGCCCUCCCUUUCCUCUUCCGUCCGGCCUCCCCGCCCUUGGUCCACCCCCUCUCCGCGCUCGCCCACCCCGCCCAGCCCGGAUCUCUGUCAGCGGCCGGAAGGGAAACGCGAAGCCAGCGCGGUCGCGGGGGGAGUCCGGGCAUCCUUCAACCAACUGAAGAAAAUGUGGUAAGAAUUCAUCAAACCAUCUUGGAAGACCACCACAGGACUAUUGAUGAACUUGUAGAGUUGACUGGGGUGUUGUGGAAUUCCUGUAAGCAAACUUUAUCUGAAGAUUUAGGCAUGAAAUGAGUUGAUGAUAAACCUUGUUUCAGGCAUCCUUCAACAAAACUGGAGAAAAUGUGGUAAGAAUUCAUCAAACCAUCUUGGAAGACCACCACUGGACUAUUGAUGGACUUGUAGAGUUGACUGGGGUGUUGUGGAAUUCCUGUAAGCAAACUUUAUCUGAAGAUUUGGGCAUGAAAUGAGUUUUAGCAAAAUUUGUAUCUCACUUGCUCAGGCCUGAACAAAGAGACAAUUGCUUAGCUAUGAGCUGUACUUUGAUGGAACAAGUGGAGGCUGGCGCUGAUUUUUUUUUUCCAAAGUCAUAACCAGAGAUGAAUCUUGGUUCUAUGGUUAUGACCCCGAAAUGAAACAGGAAUCUCCAAGUAGCCAAUGGAAAACUGCCACUUCCCCACACAGGUGAAGCCAACCAUGAAAAUCAUCAUGUUUCUUUGAUGUGAAAGGGGUUAUGCACUUGGAAUUCCUUGGAUUAGUGAAACAGUCAACCAAAAUUUUAUCUGGAAGUUUUGAGAAGGUUGCAUCUCAAUUUGCAGGAAAUGCCCCUGUGGGAAACAGAUGAAAAAAGUCCUCAAAGGGAACCGAUUUGCCAGUGUGGAAGAGAUGAAACAAAAAACAGCAGAAGCACUAAAACAGCAUCAAAAUCAACAAGUUCAGAAACUAUUUUGAGCAGUGGAAAAAAACAUCUUGAAAAGUGUAUUGCAUCAAAUGGAGAGUACUUUGAAAGUGACUGAAGUUUAAACCUAUAAGAAUAAAUACACAAUUUUUUAUAAAUCCAGUGUUUUGAGGGUCUCCCAGUUAUAGAUUUAGAACAAAUCAUGGUGUGGUUUCUCUAGGGUUGGCCAUAGGGUUGAGUUCUUGCCAAUGAAAUGUAAGCAGAAAUCUGCAGAAUGGGUCUUUUGGGAAGAACUGCCCAUUCCUAAUUAAAAAGGGACAAAUUUAACAGAUGUGCCCCUUAACCCUUCAUUAUUUCUGCCUGCAGCGUCUUAAUACACAAAGUAAUACAGCAGCCAUUCUAAUUUUUUUAAACAAUAAAACUACAAACAAGAUAAAUGCCCACCAUAAAGUUGAUCAUACAGAGUAAUAAUGUAUGGGUGGGUUGCUGAUACCUCUUGAGCAGCUGUCAACACCUUGCUUAUAUGAGAAAAAUCUCUCCUCAAUCCAGUCUUAGAUUUCCAUUACUUGAAGCCACAUUCCUAACUGAUAUCAGGUUAUCUUUUGAUAAAUUACUUGUAAGUAUCUAUCAACUAUGCUUUUAUGACCACAGAGGACCCCUAACAGUUCUUGAAAGUAGGACAACUACUACUGCAUAUUUUGACUUUCAAAGAAACUUUUAACAAGCAGUUGCUUCCUAGUUUUUUUUCUUUAAAAAGUUCUGUGAAGUGAUGCUUGGUUUAAAGUGAUUUGAGCCCUAACUGGUGUGGCUCAGUUGAGUAUCCCACAAAGCAAAAAAAGUCACUCAUUGAAUUCCUGGUCAGGGCACAUGCCUGAGUUGUACGUUCCAACCUAGGUCGGGGUGUGUGCGAGAGGCAACUAAUCAAUGUUUCUCUCUCGCAGUGACGUUUCUCUCCCUCUCCCUCCCUUCCCCUCUCUCUAAAAUAUUUAAAAUGAUUUGAGAAUCUAGGGAAUUAUUCCCAUAUAUGAUUGCUGCUCUUCAAUCAUCGCUUCAGGGCUCAACA